AUUGAACGCUGGCGGCAGGCCUAACACAUGCAAGUCGAACGGUAACAGGAAGACGCUUGCUUCUUUGCUGACGAGUGGCGGACGGGUGAGUAAUGUCUGGGAAACUGCCUGAUGGAGGGGGAUAACUACUGGAAACGGUAGCUAAUACCGCAUAACGUCGCAAGACCAAAGAGGGGGACCUUCGGGCCUCUUGCCAUCGGAUGUGCCCAGAUGGGAUUAGCUAGUAGGUGGGGUAACGGCUCACCUAGGCGACGAUCCCUAGCUGGUCUGAGAGGAUGACCAGCCACACUGGAACUGAGACACGGUCCAGACUCCUACGGGAGGCAGCAGUGGGGAAUAUUGCACAAUGGGCGCAAGCCUGAUGCAGCCAUGCCGCGUGUAUGAAGAAGGCCUUCGGGUUGUGAAGUACUUUCAGCGGGGAGGAAGGGAGUAAAGUUAAUACCUUUGCUCAUUGACGUUACCCGCAGAAGAAGCACCGGCUAACUCCGUG
rnacentral:rRNA from 1 species